UCUCCCGAGUGCGUGUUGCGCACAGACCCUUCUCCCCACGUUGAGCCCGGAACAGGGGCUGCCAAGGCCCAUCUCUGCUGCCAGCUUGGCCCCAGGGGGGGAGGGGGGCUUCAAGAUGCAACACCAGUGUGGCUUCCCCUGCUACACUGCUAUGGCCCUGCAGGCACCACUAUGGACGAUGGCCUCAUACGUGGUGCUCGCUCACUCGGGCAGCCAUUCAACUGGAGGAGAGGGGCUGUGGCUCAGUGGCAGAGCCCCUGUGGAGCAGGAAUCAAUCCCCAGAAGCAGGCCACAGGAAAACACAAAGACAACGAAUAUGAAUGCCAGUGUAAACUGACUUGGAUGACUAGGAAGAACAACUUUCAAAGAUGGCAGUUUGGAUGAUACCUGCAACAAGGUGCUUAUCCUCAGAAAAACAAGAGUCCAGUGCUUCCAAGCGACACGUCAACUUCUUCGCUGCAAGCAGGCAGCAAGGAUACAGAUAAUUGUGUGACACAGGCUCAAAAGCACUUUGUGUGUGCAAGCAAAACCACCCCCACCCCCACCCCUCCUCACCCCACCCUGUCCAAGAUGCUUUUGGAGUUGCCAAUACCAAUCAAUUAUUUAACAAUCCAACAUUAACUGCCUAAGCUAAUUUCCUGCUGAAACUUACAAAUUGAACAGGGUUUUAAAACGCUAUGAAAUUCUAACCACCCAGUUGUAAAGAGGUUCGUUCAGUCGUAAGUUCUGCCUAAGUCCGCGUAACCUCAACUGUACAUUUCUCCUGGUGGAAGAUUUGCUGAAAAUAAACAGCAGCUUUCCAAAUCAGGUCGCGGAUUUCUAGCUACGGACAGAAUAAUUAUAACUGCGCUUACAUACCGCUCUUCUAGACAGAUGAGUGCCUCACCCAGAGCAGUGAAGGAGUGUUAUUAUUAUCCCCACAAUGCAGCUGGGGAGCUGGGGCUGAGAGGAGGGGCUUG